UCCCUAGUGGCUCAGAUAGUAAAGCACUUGCCUGCAAUGCAGGAAAACUGGGUUCAAUUCCUGGGUCUGGAA
rnacentral:tRNA from 1 species